AACACACACACUGCAUACACUAACACAACACACACUGCAUACACUAAUCCAACACACACACUGCAUACACUAACACACACACACACACUGCAUACACUAACACAACACACACACUGCAUACACUAACAACACACACACAAUGCAUACACUAAUACAACACACACUCUGCAUACACCAAUACAACACACACACUGCAUACACUAAUACAACACACACACUGCAUACACUAAUACAACACACACACUGCAUACACCAAUACAACACACACUCUGCAUACACUACCCUGACACACACUCUGCAUACACUAGCACAACACACACUCUGCAUUCACUACACUAACAAACACUCUGCAUUAACUACACACUCUGCAUUCACUACACUGACACACACUCUGCAUGCACUACACUGACACACACUCUGCAUUCACUACACAUUAACACACAUUCUGCAUUAACUGUACACACAGCAUCCACUACACAAACAUCCUGUAUUCACAGUACACACACUACAUCCACCACAAAUUGAAACACUCUGCAUUCAUUAUACACAGACACUGCGUCUAUUACACACACUACAUACACUACAGACACUGCAUCCACUAAACACAUUUCAUCUAGUACACACAAACACUACAUCCACUACACAAACACACUCUGCAUUCACUAUACACACUGCAUCUGCUACACAAACACACACUCUGCAUUCACUGCACAAACAGUAUCUAAUACACACAAACACUACAUCCAUUACACACAUUCUAAUUCACUUCCACUAUGCACACCACAUUCAGUC